CAUAACACAUUGAAACACCGGUUCUCGUUCGAUCGUCGAAGUUGAGCAUCGUCGAGCCUUGUCAGUACCUAGAUGGGUGACUGCUUAAAAAUACGAGGUGUUGUAAU